CGUGUGUGUAUUUUUCAGCGCAAAAGAUUACAAGCAGAGAUUAGAUGAAAGCAAACUGGAGUCCUUGACCUUGCUGAGACAGACGCAAGUCGAAACAAUGAGAAGAGGAAGUUUGAAUUGCAAAGAAGAAAGCUGUCUGCAAAUAAGCGGCUAUAAAGCAACAUCUACCAAAGCGGUUUCCAAAUCUCGGCUACCUAAAGUGGACAACGCCCCGAGAAAAGCCUUUCCACAAAAACAAUUAUAUACAAAGGUACAGAAAAUCAGCCUUCCAAAUCUCGGCAACCGGAGCUGGAGAACGCAACAAGAAAAGCCUUACCUGAUAAGAAAUCAGCAUCUUCAGAGGCGAUGAAUAAGGAUUCCGAAUGUAUGGAACCGGAGCUGGAGAACGCCCCUAGAAAGGCCUGUCCCGAGAAGCAAUCAUCUUCUGUGGCGGUAAAUAAGCCGUCCAAAUCUUGGCUAUCGAAGCUGGACAGCCCUUCAAGAAAUGCCGUUCCUGAUAGAAAAUGAAAAACUCCCCUAGCAUCACCACCAUCAACCUCGUUUUGGAGUUUAAGCGAAGAAGGCACACAAGCGCAAAUCAUUAUGAAGGCCUCGACAGGAAAACAAAGGCUGCGGAUGUGAACAGUGAAAGGUCCCCUAGGGGAAAACAGCCGGCUGCAAAGAUGAUGAGAGCUGACAGUUCACUCCAGCCAGGGCAGGCAAACUCCAGCUCCACCUAGCUCUAGCCCGGAGCCUCUGCAGCUAACCCCAAGCCCUGAGCCCCUGCCUCCUACCACAUUGAGAACAUCUGCAUGGCUGGAAGCAAGAGAGGGGUACGCUGCAGCGAUGAGCAACGCUUGCGAUCAUCACAGUAUGAAACAAGUUGUUUCAUACUGUGAUGAUGUGCUCAUCCUGCCAGCCACAGAACAGGAGCCGCCGGUCCACAGGGUACUUGAGCCCGUACCCGGAACAUCGAGAAUCUCUAGCCCCCUACAACGAACUGAAGCGAGUGCAAAAUGCAGCUCUAUCCAAAAUGGAGGAGCAGUUUGGUGUUCUGAAGAAAAGUAUGCAAGAAGUUCACCAACUGUUGCCUCAGCAUGAUGAUAGUGAAGAAAUGAUUACAGCCAGAUCACACCUCUGCGAGGAAGAGGAGG